CCUACGGGAGGCAGCAGUGGGGAAUAUUGCACAAUGGGCGCAAGCCUGAUGCAGCCAUGCCGCGUGUAUGAAGAAGGCCUUCGGGUUGUAAAGUACUUUCAGCAGUGAGGAAGGUGGAGUCGUUAAUAGCGGCCUCAUUUGACGUUAGCUGCAGAAGAAGCACCGGCUAACUCCGUGCCAGCAGCCGCGGUAAUACGGAGGGUGCGAGCGUUAAUCGGAAUUACUGGGCGUAAAGCGCAUGCAGGUGGUUUGUUAAGUCAGAUGUGAAAGCCCGGGGCUCAACCUCGGAAUUGCAUUUGAAACUGGCAGACUAGAGUACUGUAGAGGGGGUAGAAUUUCAGGUGUAGCGGUGAAAUGCGUAGAGAUCUGAAGGAAUACCGGUGGCGAAGGCGGCCCCCUGGACAGAUACUGACACUCAGAUGCGAAAAGCGUGGGGAGCAAACAGGAUUAGAUACCCUGGUAG
rnacentral:rRNA from 1 species